GACAAUAGAGUAGAUUGGGUCAAAGGAAGAAAAGAGACAUUUGGAAAGUAGUGUAGAAAUGGCGGAAGAAGAAGACGAUUACAUGGGCGACCUCUCUCAGUUCUUACCUUCCCAAUCCGAACUCUCCCUAAACCCUCCCGCCCCAAAGGUUCCUAGCGUCAAUGGCGGUAGUAAAGCAGCUAAUUCACAAUAUUCUAAAAAGAGACCGAAAAUCCGAAAUUGGCAAGAACAAAGAAAGCUCAAGCGAGAAAUCAAGCAAGUAGAAGAGGAUAAUCGAACCCUAGCUGGCCUAGAAUCAGCCAUUCCACAGUCCAACAUUGGUUUCAAGAUGUUGAAGCAGAUGGGUUACACCCCUGGGUCUGGUUUAGGUGGUUCGGGUCGGGCUGAGCCUGUGGGGCUGGAGAUUCGGCGGUCCAGAGCUGGGAUUGGGCGGGAGGAUCCUAUAAAGGAGAAGCUGAGGAAGGAGGAGGAAAUGUUGUGGGAAAAGAGGAGGAGAGAGGAGGAAUUGAUGUCAGAUUUUGGGUGUAGGGUUAAGGAGCGGUGGCGGAAUAAGAGGGUCGUUGUGAAUUUUCACAAGGCUAAAGGGGUUUUGGAUCAAUUGGAGAACAAAGAGGUUGUGGAGGUGGAGAAGAAAGAUGAUGAUGAAAAAGAGGAGGGAGAGGAUGAAGAAGAGGAAGUGAUUACAGAAGAGGAUUUGCACGAGAUAUUGAUGAAGCUGAGGGAUGAUUUUCAGUACUGUCUUUUUUGUGGAUGUCAGUAUGAAUCAAGGGAGGCACUGUUGGGUGAUUGUCCUGGCAUAGAUGAAGAUGAUCACUAAAGGUAAAAGCAUCAUGGUACCACAAGGAAGUAGCAGUCUAGAGAUGAUUAAUGAUGAUGGAAGAUUUUUGCAUACAGCAUUGCUGUUGAAUAUGUGAACCAUUAGGAUGGCUACACACAUAAAUUGGGUGAAGAUGGAAGUUUGACUCGCCGGUUGAAGCCCGCCCAUUGGAAGAUAUAUCACACAUGUAUUGCCUUGUUAGAGGAGAUAAGAAGUCGAAAAAUCAUAGAUGCUUUUUAUGAAUCUAAUCAAAAACGAAUUGUGUUUUUGUUUGAAGCCUUGAAUUCCCUGUUUAUAUGUAUAUAUGA